GUUUCCUGUCUCUGUUACUCUGAGCUGCUUUCCCUGCACCUUUUGGCUCACGCCUGGUUAUGUUUAUGCUGUUGUGUUUAUGCUGUUCUUGCUUCACCAGGUUUCACCCCCCCUCCAAAGGGGCCAAAUUCUGCCAUUGGAUCCAUGGUGCCGAUCUCAGAUAAUCACCUUGGCAGCAGCACUUUGGGACUGAAACACAGUCCCUGCAGGUGGAGACGGGAUCUGCUUGCAACAGAAGAGAAAGAGAGCAAGGAGGUGCGAUUUUCAUUCCCAUUGCAUCAGUUGCCCAUGGAAAAAUAGCCUGUCAGGCCAUCAUCUGGAAGACGUGGCAAGGGGCACCAUGAGCAGCAAUGAGAAGCAAAUGGACCCUGACUCAUCCCCUCUGCCUGAGCCACCAAAGAGGAAGAGGGGAAGACCAAAGAAGCAGCCACAGGAGCUUCUGGGACCUUUGCCCCUAAAGAAACCACGAGGAAGGCCAAAAGGAAGCAAAAAACUGAGUGCCAGUGGUGGGCAGACGGUAGAAUCUUCAGCUGAGAAAAGACCAAGAGGGAGACCCCGAAAGUGGCCUCAGCUACUGGUCCAGGAGAAAGAAACCCAGGAAGGAUAUCUCCAAGAGAGCAGUGACCUGAAUUCUAUUUCACCGCCUGCCACAGGAGGCGCUCCUGGAAAAGAUUCUCAUAGGACGGGCAGGACUACAGGCCUCAGGAGAUCUCUGAGCACCACCCCAGCUGCACCACAGUAGCACCCUGCCUGCUGAUGUCGUACUGAAGCCACAAGGAUUAGGAAAACCAACCAACCA
rnacentral:lncRNA from 1 species